rnacentral:misc_RNA from 1 species
AAAAUUUUCAAUCUGCUCAUCAAGUAAAGCAAAAACUUACCAUAAAAUGCAGAAAUUGAAGCUGAUACGAUCACUCUAUCGUUCUGUAUAUCGCAGAUCUUCAGCUUUCUCAGUUUCUACCGCCGCAGCUGCCGCCGUCAACCACCACUUCCAUCGGGACCUUCAUUUUUCAGCUUCUCCUAGAACCCCUUUUCGUGAAUUGCGACAUCCUUUGACAAAGGCAAUAGGAAGCACACGUUCUUUUAGUGAGGAUGUGACCGACAUGCCUGACAUAGAAGAUUUGGAGAUCAAACGAGCUUUUAAGGACUUGAUGGCUGCAAGCUGGGAU